CACAGCCGUAACAUCUCAUGGGCCAGAUCCAGGUCUUGUAAAAAGACAUUGAGAGUGUACUGAAGGUGAAUGGUGGUGUAAGUUUUUUAACUUUUAAGGUUCAGAGGGGUGUUAGGCAGGGUUGUUCCCUGUCAGGGAUGCUAUACUCUCUGGCCACAGAGCCUUUCCUGCACAAACUAAGAUUACAGUUGUCUGGUUUCUCUUUUCCUGGAUGUGUGAAUUGUGUUGAAGUGUCAGCUUAUGCUGAUGAUCUUAUUAGUAUUGUUCAAAACCAACAUGAUGUUAAUGUUUUAAAUAAAAGUGUGUGUCACUUUGGCAAAUUGUCCUCUGCCAAAGUGAAUUGGAGGAAAAGUGAAGCCUUAGCCGUGGGUAAAGGACUGAUUACCAGGCUGGUUUUGCCUGGAGGCCUGGGGCCUGUUCUACGAAGCAGGAUUACUGCUUAGCGAGGUAACUUCGAGGGUAAGUUCGGGGUUUCCUGUUCUACGACGCGGGUUCACUUCUUAGCGAGGCGAGUCUCCAUAGCAAUAUACGCUGAACGGCUAACCUGCUCCGGGGCAGGUUAAAUUCCAGAUUGAACUCACCGAGUAUAAAAACCCCGCCCUAUGACCAAUGAGCUCUCUCGAAAAAACGGCUUGUCCGUUCUCGGGGGAUCCUGUAGACCUCGGUGCUCGCAUUGUCCGAGGAGGAGCACUCCGGCUCGCGAGAGUUUUCAGGGAGAGUUUUCUCCGGAUGACCACCUUUAUGGAAGGCUCAUAUGGCCGACAGAUCACACAAAACAUGUAAACACGAUAGGAAUGAACAAAUGAAUGAUUCAUCUUGGGAAUGAAUGGGCAUGGGCUGUGUGAUCACAGACAACAUCUCGGUACUAUUUAGUAGCAGCGCACGCCCCUUAUAAUUACCCGGUAAAUACUGUUGUUCAGGACUGCUUACUUGUGCUUCCUACCCACUGUAACAACCGUUGUUCUAGCCCACAUGCAACAUUUUUGUUCUCAUUUAUGAAACGCUUAAAUCAGGGACAUUUUCGGGGACAGCUUUAGCCGGGGACAGAUCAUCCAAUUCGGGGACUGUCACCUUAGUUAAAAGCGCAUGUUGAACAGUGCUAUUUCAGGGUGAUAAUGGCAUCAAAGAUUACUUUUCUGCCAGCGUUCCCUCCGUGCUUUUGCAGCGGCGACGGUGUUGCUUUUGAGGUUUAUGAUAGCUUUCAAUUCAUGAUCUCAUGAUCGUCUCCUGUUCCUCGUUUGUAAAGUCCGCGGUCCUUCACUCUCCAGCCUGCUCUGACGCUCCAGACUGAUCCAUGUUCGCGAUUGGUCAGAUGCGACGGGCUCCGCCUUAUAUGUGUGCACGCGCUCAUAGCAGAGCUGGAUCCACUUACGAGGUUGAUAACCAGCGUCGUAAAACCGCUUAGCGAGACCGCUGGCUACCGCGCUAAAUUGAGCGCGGUAGCUCCAAGGCUACCUCGCUAAGUUGAACCUGCUUCGUAGAACAGGCCCCUGGUGUGGAGAAGAGAAGGGUUAAAGUAUCUGGGAGUGUACUUGGGAGAUGAGACUUUCUUAUUUUAAAAAUGGGACAAUGUCCUGGAAAAAGUCGAGGGUCGACUUAAAAAGUGGAAAUGGAUACUACCAAAGCUGUCUUUUAGAGUUUGAGUCCUGAUUAUUAAUUAUAUGGUGUCUUCUAUGUUGUGGCAGCGGCUAGCGUGUGUGGACCCCCAGCAGAACUUGCUGUCCUGAGUGCAAGCAUGUUUGGUGGACUUUUUCUGGGACCGUCUGCAUUGGGUCCCACAGAGCGUCCUCUUUCUGCCCAAGGAGGAGGGAGGGCAAGAACUUGUCCACUUGAUGAGCAGAGGAGCUACCUUCAGGCUCCAGUUUGUUCAGAUACUCCUAACUGGACCGGUGGACCUGGUCUGGAGGCCUGUUGCUCUUGCAUUAUUGAAACUCUGUGGAGGGCUGGGUCUGGCAAAGUCCUGGUUUCUCAUGGACCUGAGUGGAUUCAAAUGAGACUAUUUCCCCACCUUUUACAAGGGACUGUUUAAAGCAUGGGGACUUUCCAGGAAGGAGAGGCUGAAGGACUAUGGCUCUUUGUUCUGGCCUCUCAAAGAGCCAGUGGUGUACGGGACACAUCUGCAGUGUUCGGCAGGGCGAUCCCUGCUUCAGAGACUCUGGGAGGCUCACAUCUUCACACUAGGCCAGCUGAUGGAGGUGUGUGGCCCUGAUCUGGACAAUGCUGCUGCUCUGGCCUCUUACCUGGGGAUCAGUUCGGUCAGACUGGCAAGCCUUCUGCUGCGGGGCUGGAAACAGUAGCUCAGUCUCAGGGAGCGCUCCCUGACUGCUGCUUAUAAUCAUGGACUGAUACAGCCUGAUGGCUCGGACUCUCUACCCCAGGUGAUCAUUGCUCCAGUGUUUAAAUGUGAGGUUGGUUGUCUGCUCAAACUGCAUCCAGGUGUUGAUUAUAAACUGAGUGCUAUAGCAGGUAAAACAAUGUGUUAUUUAUGUGUUAAAGUGUUAAACCAGAACAAAAUUAAAGAUCGAGUCGAUAGUCCAUGGAGAGCUCAUUUAAACCUGGCAGGGCUCAGAGGCCUGAGUGGAGAGCACUGUACAAACCACCAUUUACUAGAAGAGCUGGGGAUUUACAGUGGAGUCUUCUACAUGGUAUUGUCACUGUUCAGUCUUUUGUUUCUGUGAUCAGUCCAAGUGUUGAUACCUGUCCUUUCUGUUCACAGAGAGAAACCGUUUUUCAUUGUUUCUUAGAAUGCAGCAGACUGGUUUCUCUAUUUCACUUUCUAGUCCAGGUGUUUGCUUUGUUUAAGGAGGUUUUCUUUCAUCAGAUGUUCAUCCUGGGUUACAGAUACAACAGGAAAAACAAGACAAAAUGUCAACUUUUUAACUUCCUGCUGGGCCAGGCAAAAAUGUCUAUCUAUCUCAGUAGAAGAAACAAACUGGAAAGUUUUUUAGAUGUUGAUGCAAAGAUCUUUUUUGUUCGCAUGAUAAAGGUCAGACUGAAAACUGAUUCCUGUUUCUUUAAACUGACAAACAGUUUGAAGGAGUUCACUGAUGUGGGCCCUGCAAAAAAAUAUUGUGCUCUGUGAAAGAUGGUGAUCUAGCUUUUGGUCCAAUUUUGUAUUAUUUUUUUUUUAUUUUUCAUUGUAAGCACUCAGACAUGAGAGGUCUGUUUUCAUCCUGUUGAUAUUUUAUUGAGAAAGUAAAG